UGGGGAACUCGAGAGUCAAGCCAUUUAAUUAAAUGCGCGAAUAAAGAUAUGGUUUUGCUUUGUCUUUUUCUUCCCUUUUUCUUUAUCUAUGCUUGGCAUUUGGAAUAAUUGCAUGUGAUUUGAUUGUAUAUUGAACCCUAGGAUAGAUGAUAUGUUUAUAUCUGCCUGGGAAUUUUCUGGCUGUUUUGCAGGUGAGGGUUUGGGUGCAUUGCAUUCUCCCUUCACACACACACAUAUUAUGCAUCUAUUGAGUGAGGCCCUAUACCCGGGUCUGAGCGUAACUUAGAAUUAGAGGAGUUGUGUAGCGGUGUCACUCUGGGAUGUACUUCCUGUUUGGCUAUCGUGAGAGCUCCAGCUAGAGUCUGUUCUCUUCAUUUGUGUUUCCACACCUAGUUGAUUACUCGACUGUUGUGGAGAUGCUGUGGAGGGGGCCAUAGCUCUAGUGACCUUUGAUCCUUAGGCUCAGGGAACUAUCCUGGUGAGAACGCAUAUACUUGACCUUGAAUCUGAAAUGUUGAACCUCCACUAGGACACAAAGGGAGAUGUGUGUAUCCUUAUAACCCUC
rnacentral:lncRNA from 1 species